rnacentral:rRNA from 1 species
GAUGAACGCUGGCGGCGUGCCUAAUACAUGCAAGUCGAGCGAACAGACGAGGAGCUUGCUCCUCUGACGUUAGCGGCGGACGGGUGAGUAACACGUGGAUAACCUACCUAUAAGACUGGGAUAACUUCGGGAAACCGGAGCUAAUACCGGAUAAUAUAUUGAACCGCAUGGUUCAAUAGUGAAAGACGGUUUUGCUGUCACUUAUAGAUGGAUCCGCGCUGCAUUAGCUAGUUGGUAAGGUAACGGCUUACCAAGGCAACGAUGCGUAGCCGACCUGAGAGGGUGAUCGGCCACACUGGAACUGAGACACGGUCCAGACUCCUACGGGAGGCAGCAGUAGGGAAUCUUCCGCAAUGGGCGAAAGCCUGACGGAGCAACGCCGCGUGAGUGAUGAAGGUCUUCGGAUCGUAAAACUCUGUUAUUAGGGAAGAACAAAUGUGUAAGUAACUAUGCACGUCUUGACGGUACCUAAUCAGAAAGCCACGGCUAACUACGUG